AUUUUUUUAAGACUUCAUUUAAAAUAAAACCUGCUCAAUGUAGAAUAAAUAGCUGCAAAAUUUUUGUACUAAGGUAGCAUAAUCAUUAGCUUUUUAAUUUAAAGAUAGAAUGAAUGGUUAAACGUAAUAUACACUGUUUUCAAAAAUUUUAAUUAAUUUAAAUUAAAAGUAAAAAUUCUUCAAAAAUUAAGAAAGACGACAAGACCCUAAUAAACUUACUAAUUUAGCUGGGGAGGCUAAAUAAAUAUAACUUAAUUACAAUAUUAGCUAAACUUCUAUAAAAAACAAGAUAAAGUUACUAUAGGGAUAACAGCGCAAUUUUAGUACAAAGUUCUUAUUAAAACUAAAUAUUACGACCUCGAUGUUGAAUUAAUUUAACUUUAAAAAGCAAAAUUUUUAAAAGCAGGUCUGU
rnacentral:rRNA from 1 species